UACGAGGGGAGCUAGCGUUAUUCGGAAUUACUGGGCGUAAAGCGCACGUAGGCGGCUUUGUAAGUAAGAGGUGAAAGCCUGGAGCUCAACUCCAGAACUGCCUUUUUAGACUGCAUCGCUUGAAUCCAGGAGAGGUGAGUGGAAUUCCGAGUGUAGAGGUGAAAUUCGUAGAUAUUCGGAAGAACACCAGUGGCGAAGGCGGCUCACUGGAGCUGGUAUUGACGCUGAGGUGGCGAAAGCGUGGGGAGCAAACAGG
rnacentral:rRNA from 1 species